rnacentral:rRNA from 1 species
CCUACGGGCGGCAGCAGUGGGGAAUAUUGCACAAUGGGGGAAACCCUGAUGCAGCGACGCCGCGUGAGUGAAGAAGUAUUUCGGUAUGUAAAGCUCUAUCAGCAGGGAAGAAAAUGACGGUACCUGAUUAAGAAGCCCCGGCUUACUACGUGCCAGCAGCCGCGGUAAUACGGAGGGGGCAAGCGUUAUCCGGAUUUACUGGGUGUAAAGCGAGCGUAGACGGCAGCACAGGUCUGGAGUGAAAUGCCGGGGGUUAACCCCGGAACUGCUGUUGAAACUGUGCAGCUAGAGUUCAGGAGAGGUAAGUGGAAUGCGUGGUGUAGCGGUGAAAUGCGUAGAUAUUAGGAGGAACACCAGUGGCGAAGGCGACUUACUGGACUGUAACUGACGUUGAGGCUCGAAAGCGUGGGGAGCAAACAGGAUUAGAUACCCGAGUAGUC